CACACGACUCUCGGCAACGGAUAUCUCGGCUCUCGCAUCGAUGAGGAACG
rnacentral:rRNA from 1 species